UUUUGGAAAACGAUUGAGUUUUGAGAAAGAUCAAAGCGUUAUACCCGGUUAUAUUUCGCUCGGCCGCAGACCUUGUACCGGUACAGGGGUUCUUGUUCCGGUACAAGGACCAAAAUGUGAAAAUUUUUUUUUCGAAAAAUAUACUUUAAAAACCCAUCAAAUUUAAAUUAAAUUCAUAUAAUUAAGGCUUUUACUCCAAAAAUCAUUAUAAUGAAAAUAAGAUAUUAUAAAAUUUCAAAACACAUCAAAACAUCAAAAUUUCAAAAUCAAAAAUAAUUUAAUGAUUCAAAAACAUCAAGAUGUAAGUUGAUGAAAAAUGAUUUUUAGAAAUUCAACAAAAUUGACACCAAUUGGUCGCAACAUGUUCAAAAUAGAGAUUUAACUAAUAUGAUACCAGGGGUGGCUCUUUGAGCAUCUUUUUCAAACUAGCACCUUAUUACUCCGAAAAUUUUAAAAUAUUUAUAUUUUUCCAACCUUUUUCGGCUUUUUCAAUUAAAUUCCAUGUGGUAGCUUCACACACUUGCCGGACGACCGGGGUGGUAGCUCUUUCCUACAUGUGGUGGUAGUUUUCACACUCCUUUUGGAUGUAACUCUUUCCACAUCUUUUAAACAUAGGAGUUUCUUUUUCUCCUUUUUAUUUUUUUUAAACAAUUUCAAACUCCCCCUAAAUUAGACAAUCUCACAAUUGAAAAUAAUUUUGACGAAUUUUAGUCAAUUAGAGAAUAUCCAUUCAUCAUAUCCAACACUCACAACCAAGAUGAAUUAAUCACCAAAAAAUCAAAUUUGAUUUCAAAAUUUUGAUGAAUUUAUGAUAUAAGAAAUCAUAUAAUAAAUUAUCGUCAAAAUAAUAAAUAGUGGAGUAAAGACGAUAAUUAAUAUGAAUUUAACUUAAUAUGAUUGUGAAGAUAAGACCCGUUUAAACAAUCUUAAAAAAACUUUCUCUCCAAAAAACGAUUCUCAAUCUUCUCCUUUCUCAAAGAUUUUGAAAUUCCUAAACACCUCUUCCUCAAAAUAAUUUUUAAAUAAACAAAAAUUCAAUGCACCAAAAAUCAUUCAAUCAUGUAAUGCAAUGAAUAAAAAUAAACAACAAGCACCAAUCAAAGCAUUACACUAAAAAUAAAAAAUGACUAAGACGAGGAGCAAGGAAAGAUAU
rnacentral:lncRNA from 1 species